CCUACGGGUGGCAGCAGUAGGGAAUUUUCGGCAAUGGGGGGAACCCUGACCGAGCAACGCCGCGUGAACGAAGAAGUUUUUCGUAUUGUAAAGUUCUUUUAACAGGGACGCAAGAGAAAUUUGUCGGUACCUGAUGAAUCAGCUCCGGCUAACUACGUGCCAGCAGCCGCGUUCAUACGUAGGGAGCGAGCGUUAUCCGGAAUUAUUGGCCGUAAAGGGUGCGUAGAUGGCAUAGUAAGUCUUUUGUAAAAAUGCGGGGCUCAACCCAGUAGGGCAAAAGAUACUGGAAAGCUAGAGUAUGACAGAGGCAAGUGGAACUACAUGUGUAGCGGUAAAAUGCGUAGAUAUAUGUAAGAACACCAGUGGCGAAGGCGGCUUGCUGGGUCGAUACUGACAGUGAGGCACGAAAGCGUGGGGAGCAAACAGGAUUAGAUACCCUAGUAGUC
rnacentral:rRNA from 1 species